GAUGAAGAACGUAGCGAAAUGCGAUAAGUAAUGUGAAUUGCAGAAUUCAGUGAAUCAUCGAAUCUUUGAACGCACAUUGCGCCCGCCAGUAUUCUGGCGGGCAUGCCUGUUCGAGCGUCAUUUCAACCAUCAAGCCCCCGGCUUGUGUUGGGGACCUGCGGCUGCCGCAGGCCCUGAAAACCAGUGGCGGGCUCGCCAGUCACUCCGAGCGUAGUAAUACAUCUCGCUCAGGGCGUGCUGCGGGUUCCGGCCGUUAAAAGCCUUAUUUUACCCAAGGUUGACCUCGGAUCAGGUAGGAAGACCCGCUGAACUUAAGCAUAUCAAUAAGCGGAGGA
rnacentral:misc_RNA from 1 species